rnacentral:ncRNA from 2 species
UUAAGAAUGUAGGGGGGCUGGUAGUUGCCAGCUGAGAUUGUGUCCGUUAAGACGCUGACCCUUUGAACCUGAUUUGGCUCGUACCAGCGUAGGGAACAUCUAUUCAAAAAUA